CCUACGGGUGGCAGCAGUGGGGAAUAUUGCACAAUGGGCGAAAGCCUGAUGCAGCAACGCCGCGUGAGUGAAGAAGGUCUUCGGGACGUAAAGCUCUGUCCUCAAGGAAGAUAAUGACGGUACUUGAGGAGGAAGCCCCGGCUAACUACGUGCCAGCAGCCGCGGUAAUACGUAGGGGGCUAGCGUUAUCCGGAUUUACUGGGGGUAAAGGGUGCGUAGUCGGGUUGUAAAGUCAGAGGUGAAAGGCUACGGCUAAACCGCAGACAGCCUUUGAAACUGGGGAACUUGAGUGCAGGAGAGGAAAGUGGAAUUCCUGGUGUAGCGGUGAAAUGCGUAGAUAUUAGGAGGAACACCAGUUGCGAAGGCGGCUUACUGGACUGUAACUGACGCUGAGGCACGAAAGCGUGGGGAGCAAACAGGAUUAGAUACCCGAGUAGUC
rnacentral:rRNA from 1 species